CACAGAAGCAAAUAACCCUUUUAGGGGCUUCAUACCCCCUAGUCCUGGGUAAGUUAUGCUACAGUUGAAAUCUGAACAUUGAGCAGGAGUUAGCCAGCGGGGAGGAGAGGAUGGGAGAAUAUCCCAGGGAGAGGGAGCUUCCAGGAUCAGAGGUUGGAGGGAGGAUGAGGGAGCUUAAGGAGUCUCAGACCUCAGAGAUGUCUACACUGGCAGAGCCCCAGAGCCCAAGGCCAAGCCAUAGACUGGCAGCUAGGAAGUGAAUCACACACUCCCAGAGCCUUCGGAGCCAGAAGAACACUGAGCUGGUUCCUGGGACGGAUGCAGCACAAAGGGGCUUUUCAGGGCCUCCUGUUGAACGAAGUGUUCUGUUCCCAUCGAAGCUUUGAAAGACGUGGGGAGAAAACAAACCCAGAGUGACUAAGAAGUGCUGCUUCUCAGGGAUGGGCAGAUAGACGCCCUGCAACGUCCCGGGACAGGCCUGCCGUGGGAUAGGGAGGCUGCCCUUGGCAUGGGCUGCCAUCAUGUACCCAGCACCUUUGGUAAAUUAUCGCUGUUGGGCUUAUAGCUAGAAAACCUGAAAGGAGACGUGAGUCACUGGACAUGUUGAGACACACAUUGGUCCAAAUGUACCAGAAGAUACAGAUCCUCCUCUUUCCAGCACCCAGAGAGGACCAGAAAGGCUCAGCCUGGCAUUAAUACGGUGGGUUUCCCUGUAGAAGGGCUGGGUCCACGGUAGAAAAUCAGACCAUUCCUAUAAGCUCAGGAAGAGAUCACAGAGGAAAAAAAUAAUACAAGUGACUUUUAGAGCAAAUGAUAAGAUUUUCACCUGCACUUUUAAUGAUAGAAAUGAGAAUUAAAACUACGAACAGAUAGCAUUAAAAAACACAUGUGACCCGGGCUCAGUGGCUCACAUCUGUAAUCCCAGCGGUUUGGGAGGCUGAGGCGGGCAGAUCACCUGAGGCCAGGAGUUUCAGACCAGCCUGCCCAACAUGGCAAAACCCCAUCUCUACUGAAAAUAUGAAAUUAGCUGGGUGUGGUGGCGCAUGCCUGUAAUCCCAGCUACUCAGGAGGCUGAGGCAGGAGAAUCACUUGAACUCAGGAGAUGGAGGUUGCAGUGAGCCGAGAUCGUGCCAUUGCACUCCAGCCUGGGCAACAAGAGCAAAAUUCUGUCUCAAAAAAAAAAAAAAAAGAAAAAAAUUCCACGUGAUUAGCAAAGAUCAAAAAAUGUGAACUGUACUGUGCAGGGUGGCUGUGAGAAGGUAUGUGUGAUCAAGUGCUGAUGGUGAUGUGCUAACUGGAGGGUGACCACUGUAGCUUUCAAAAUGUAAAAGGCACAUGUAUGUUCACAAAGCAGCUCCACUUGUGGGAGAUUAUUCUGUAUAUUUCUUUACACAUUGUGCACAAAAAAGUGGCUGUCAUUCAUUGCAAUCUUGUUUGUAAGAGACUGGAAUAGGCUUAAAUGUUCAUGACAACGGGAAUGGGUUCAAUGAGUUAUGAUACGUCCGUAUGGUGGAAUUCUAAAUAGCCCAUAAAAAUAUAAGGUAUGCUGGCCACGGUGGGUCACAACUGUAAUCUCAG
rnacentral:lncRNA from 1 species